rnacentral:rRNA from 1 species
CUGCCCCCCCUCGAGCUCGAGGCGACGACGAUUACCGCCUCUCGCUGCCGCCGCUCCGCCUGGGGCCGCGGCCGGCGCUGCUGGGCCGGGGCGCGGGCGUCGCCGGCGUCGAGCGGUUUAGCGCGUGGUAGCGGCCGAGGCGGUGGCGCCGGCGGCGGCGGAGGCGGCUCUAUUCCGCCCCGCCCUCCCUGCCGCCGUAGGAGCGGGCGGCGAGCUGGUGUUGCCGCCGCCGCGGGGAGGGCGUCCACGGGUCCGCCGAGUGGCAGCGGCACCUGCUGGGGAGGGUGCGCCGCGGGUUGCGGCCGCACGAGCUGGCGCUGACCACGAUGGGCAGGAAGGAGCCGGGCGUGCGGAGCGCGGGCGCGGGCGGCGCGGUCGUCGUCUGCGGCGGCGGGCGGCGGCGGCGGCGGCGGGGGCGGGCGGCCUUGGGAUCGUCGUUAGGGCGGUGGUGCGCCUCCCACCGCCGGAGCGUCGCCCUGCUCCUCUUCAGGGACCGGAGGCACCAGUUCGUCAGGCGCGACGAGCCCCUCUCCUCCGGCGAGAGCGGAGGCGGGGGCGGCGGCGGCGCGCGAGCGCCUAAGCUAGAGAGCGGCAUGACGGAGGACGAUAACGACCAACAUUGGCAGUGUUCGAGAAGGGACCGGAAGACCGUCACCUACUUUCACGACCCUGAGGUCCUUUUCCAGUCUAGUACGUCACCACCACGACUACGACACCUGUCACUCCUUUGACGACUCUGUAGGACCCAAGACCCCCUGGGACCAAGGCCGAAACAAUCGAGGCUCUCGACCUUUAAUCGAGGCUACAAACGACACCGUUAUGGCUAUAAGGAAAAAUUUAUGCGACUGGUCGACGCCGCAUUCUUUCUUUUAAGGUCGUCCCGCUCUUCGUGGCUCCUUCUUCACGGAGAGCUCUUCGCCUAACGAAUGUUCCAACUACACAAGAAGAGUCCCGUAGGCAUACGCUUCGACGAACGGGAGGACUAGCGGUGACAUCAAGAGUAGCGGAGCCCGCCGUAACGCGACAUAAGACAGUCACCGUCACCCAAGGACCUCCGAGAAACCGAAAGAACCUGAAAACACCGUCUAAGUCCUUUGGUACGACUGGUCCAACCGGAGCCAGGUUCCUAACACAGGCACAGCUAAUCACGGCCACCGUACGACCACAAACGGUGCUACGAGCCCGAACACAGUCUACGGUAUAGCCUCUUCCAUCUAAGAACCGCAUUCCCCUUUUCGCUCCACUAUCUCCAGUUGGUAUAUGAUUAGGAGCCUACCUCGCUGUUCGACCCGAGAGAAGACUUCGUCGAUCGAUAUCGCUUAUUUUCGUAACCACCACCACAUCAACAACAGGACCGUCUUUCUCUGUUCCUUCUCUACCUCUACCUGUAUCCUUUCGAUCCUAAACUGAAGUACCCUUGUAGACAUUAUACAUCUUCGCCGUCAGGAGAUUAGGAUCGUCUAGACUUCUUCCAAAGACAAAGGUUUCGUGCACGAUAAUAACAAAAUCGUAGACUACUUUUACGUCUGGUUUCACUACGUGCUCGAAACGCACAGCAUGACUCGGACUGACCUCAUUUUCUCCCGAAUUCCCCCGUAUAACAACAUCUCUACUCACUGGAACUGUUACUUGGAAACCACUUUAACCAACCUCCACUUGAUUAACUUUGUCAACAACGGGUACUACAGUAACCUGCAAACUACUAUGUCACACGUGAGGUUGGACCGAACCGUGUCUAUACCCUCCUAUAAAACCCUAAGCUUUUACGUCUCAAGAUAUAUUUUUCUACCGGUCUUAACCUACCGUACGCCAAACCCCUACACAAUUAGAGUAAGGGACUACGACACGGGACACCUCACUUCGAACGCAGUUCUAAACCUUCAUAUAAUUACUUAGGCCUACUACUAAUACAAAAUUCUCUUCCACUACUCUAGGAACAAUAUCGUCUUCUACUACUAUGAAUACGUGGACGAGGAGAUGGUCUCCACGUAUUCCCAAAAGAUGGAUUGCAAGGGUGGGGAGGAUUUAUAGGUCUCUUUUAAAACAAGACACCAACCGCUGCACUGUAGGUGCUAUACUAUUACCAAGAUCUUCGUAAAGAACGAGGUCCAAGACUUAACACCUACAAGUUACUCCACGGUCUCUUCCGCUCCCUCUGUUUUGACUGACUGCCACCAUACCUAUAAGAACCUGAUUGUUUGUAAUUUGAACAUGUGUUUCUUCCCUUACGACAGUAGUCCGCCGUGAAUCUUUCGAACGGAGAACUCUGGAAACUAAGAUAAAAUUAAGAACGUCUACUCAGUCACCUCCUGAGGUAACAUGUUAGUCUAAGUGCCAGGAAUCGAUGUGAAGAAGAUUAAGCACUGCAAGUCAGGUUUGCAGAAGGCAGCUUCCUCAGUUUUAGUGGAGAUGUAGUGUUACCGAAGAGAGUGUCGAGGACCUAAGCCUUCUACGUCGUACGUAGCCUGUUUAGUUAUUAUUAGUCACUCUAUGACCUGAGUUCUUGAUCUUUGGAACAUAGACAGAGGUUUUAGUCGCUAAUGCAGGACAGUUUACUUGAACAGUCAUACCGUAAUCGUUACCAUCGUCUUCUGUUCGUUUAGUUGUCUCAAGAACUCCUUGAAAAACGACUCCUCCCGUUGCUCUACACGUAUGCCAGACGACUCAAAAUGGACAUGCUUGUUCUCCUCAACUCAAAGGACCUGUAUUACCACUCCCGAGCACUCUCUCUGCUCUAACACUAGCCGAUGGCCGAGCGUUUGUGGCUACUCCGUUAGUAAUUAGGUCUCGUGUUCAGCCUCUAAUUCUUCACCAGAGACCUGCUGCACAAACAACACUAGCGCUUUCGACUAUCUUUGCUAUUGGCCCGUUUCGUAUACAACUUCAUGUCAACACUAGAGUAGAGUGGACUCUGUAACCGUGACUUGUACAGCCAAGGACAGCAGAGGCACCGUAAGUCAAGUGGAGUUGCAUCCAUUGAAGCCCCGGGGUCGGUCUCCAACAACGACUACUCAUUUAUUCGUCAUGUCACCCAGGUACGUCAUCCUUAUCGAACACUAAGUACAACAUAAAACAUUCGAGUGCCGAUUAAUAACUUAGGUACUAUACGAUAUACGGUACGACACAACUACAAGUUUCCUUUAUCACGUACGUCACAUAAGA